AGGGAUUUUGGUUGGGAAAACUUAAACAUAGCAGAGACAAAUUUGAAAACAUAAAUUGGAAAACAGAUAAUAUUAAAAGUGACUUAGUCUUGGCUUUUACUUUGGUUAUAACAAUCAAGACUGUCAAAAACUAAACACUGAUAAACAGCUUAAAAAUGUGAAAUAAACAGCUGCGCCAUGAGCGCAUGAUACGCCCGACGUCUUGUGUGGAAGUUUUAUGCAAUAAUCAUAAAUAGUUUCUGAGAAGUUUUUAAGCAAGAACCAUUUAUUGUUUUUGAGACACGGCCGGACAUGUGAAACCCUGUUUUUUUUUUACAAAUAUCACUAAAAUAAAAUUUUGAAUCAAACCAAAAAGUAUACAGAUCUUUAAAUUAGUAUAAUAAAGAAGUGUGUACAGUUUCAAGCAAUAUUCAUAAAUUGUUUUUGAGAUACGACGCAACAUGUAAAAAAACCCCUCCCCUUUUUUACAAAAUACUCAAUAACUCAAAAAUAAAAUUUUGAGUCAUCACCAAAAAGUAUACAGAUCUUUAG
rnacentral:lncRNA from 1 species